UGCCUGUUUUCCCUAUAUUUAGCCUAUUUGCACCCAUUUUCAUAGGUCAAAAAAUCUCUUGGAUGGCCGGUGACCCCCAAAUUUUAUUUCAAUUUUAUAAAAUAGAGACAUCAAGCUUUACAGUAUGAAAAAAUAGGCAACUUCUGUCAUUUAUUUUGCUCUUAAAAUUCAAUCAAAGAUAUUUUAUGCCUGUUUUCCCUAUAUUUAGCCUAUUUGCACUCAUUUUCAGAGGUCAAAAAAAUCUCUUGGAUGGCCGGUGACCCCAAAUUUUAUUUCAAUUUUAUAAAAUAGAGACAUCAAGCUUUACAGUAUGAAAAAAUAGGCAACUUCUGUCAUUUAUUUUGCUCUUAAAAUUCAAUCAAAGAUAUUUUAUGCCUGUUUUCCCUAUAUUUAGCCUAUUUGCACUCAUUUUCAUAGGUCAAAAAAUCUCUUGGAUGGCCGGUGACCCCCAAUUUUAUUUCAAUUUUAUAAAAUAGAGACAUCAAGCUUUACUUUAUGAAAAAAUGAGCAACUUCUGUCAUUUAUUUUGCUUUGAAAAUUCAAUCAAAUUGUUUUUUUGUCCAUUUUCCCUAUAUUUCCAUAUAACCUAUUUGCACUCAUUUUCAGAGGUCAAAAUAUCUCUUAGAUGGCCGGUGACCCCCAAUUUUUUUUGCAUUUUUUCAUUUACAAUACUUCAAAGUUAAAAUUUCACAAAGUAUAAGAAAAUUCUGUCAUUUUUUUUCUAUACCC
rnacentral:lncRNA from 1 species